CUCAUUGUUUAUUCGUUGGUCCCUGGUGGAUAGUUGUUCAUUGUUUAUUCAUUGGUCCCUGGUUGAUAGUUAUGUUCAUUGUUUAUUCGUUGGUCCCUGGUGGAUAGUUGUCUCAUUGUUUAUUCGUUGGUCCCUGGUGGAUAGUUGAGUUCAUUGUUUAUUCGUUGGUCCCUGGUGGAUAGUUGUCUCAUUGUUUAUUCGUUGGUCCCCGGUUGAUAGUUGUCUCAUUGUUUAUUCAUUGGUCUCUGGUUGAUAGUUAUGUUCAUUGUUUAUUCGUUUGUCCCUGGUGGAUAGUUGUCUCAUUGUUUAUUCGUUUGUCCUUGGUGGAUAGUUGUCUCAUUGUUCAUUCGUUGGUCCCAGGUGGAUAGUUGUCUCAUUGUUUAUCCGUUGGUCCCUGGUGGAUAGUUGAGUUCAUUGUUUAUUCGUUGGUCCCUGGUUGAUAGUUGUCUCAUUGUUUAUUCGUUGGUCCCUGGUGGAUAGUUUUUCAUUGUUUAUCCG
rnacentral:lncRNA from 1 species